rnacentral:rRNA from 1 species
UAGCAAUACGUCAGCGGCGGACGGGUGCGUAACACGUGGGAACGUACCCUUUGGUUCGGAACAACUGAGGGAAACUUCAGCUAAUACCGGAUAAGCCCGAAAGGGGAAAGAUUUAUCGCCAAAGGAUCGGCCCGCGUUCGAUUAGCUUGUUGGCGGGGUAAUGGCCCACCAAGGCGACGAUCGAUAGCUGGUCUGAGAGGACGAUCAGCCACACUGGGACUGAGACACGGCCCAGACUCCUACGGGAGGCAGCAGUUGGGAAUCUUGGACAAUGGAGGAAACUCUGAUCCAGCCAUGCCGCGUGAGUGAUGAAGGCCUUCGGGUUGUAAAACUCUUUCGACGGGGACGAUAAUGACGGUACCCGUAGAAGAAGCUCCGGCUAACUUCGUGCCAGCAGCCGCGGUAAUACGAAGGGGGCUAGCGUUGUUCGGAAUUACUGGGCGUAAAGCGCGCGCAGGCGGCCGUUCAAGUCAGGGGUGAAAGCCCGGAGCUCAACUCCGGAAAUGCCUCUGAAACUGAUCGGCUCGAGUACGGUAGAGGUGAGUGGAAUUCCCAGUGUAGAGGUGAAAUUCGUAGAUAUUGGGAAGAACACCGGUGGCGAAGGCGGCUCACUGGACCGUUACUGACGCUCAGGCGCGACAGCGUGGGGAUCAAACAGGAUUAGAUACCCUGGUAGUCCACGCCGUAAACGAUGAACGCUAGCCGUUGGCGAGCUUGCUCGUCAGUGGCGCAGCUAACGCAUUAAGCGUUCCGCCUGGGGAGUACGGCCGCAAGGUUGAAACUC